AACAGAGUCAACCCCUAGCGCUUCCCGUAAUCCAAUUAGAUCGUGCAAAUCGUCAUCUAUCAACGAAUUGGGAAUCCAGUGCCCUGAACAUGUGUCUCCUGAAGUUCGUACUCAACAUGCUGUUCAUUCAACUGAAAGCUGCCUUACCUCCUAUGAGAUUCCUGUAGGAUCUUCACCAGAAAGAAAGAGGCAAAUGCUGAACAUGGAUUUGACAACUGUCUUUCAUAUCGGGUGAAUCGGAUUUCAGAAACCCAGAUUUGCACGUGGUACAAGUUAACUCGCGUGGAAAUAUUGGUGUAUAAAAAUUAAAAAAAAUGUAACUACGCUCCUAUUUCAUUUCCGUUGUUUCUUGGAUUUGAAACAGGCUGAGUUCUCCUGUGGAAUGUUUGGUUCCGGAAUUAGAUAGCAUUUGGCAGUACUGAUGAAGAAAAAAAAGUUAAAAUCUUAUCCAAUGUACUAUAUGAUCGAGUUCUAGUCAGUACUGUAAGUCAGAUCCACUUCGUCUUUUAUGAAAUUGGCAGACAACAUAGUUGAACUAUCUUAGCUGAAGUUGUAAACCGAAACUGCUGAUGUUUUCAUAUCAAGAUUGGACCUCUUUCUAUUACUAAGCAGUCCAAUGUUUAUGAUAGACCAAGUUUUGCAUAAGCAUAUAGAUACUAGAUAAAUGUAGUUGCAAAAGAAUUAAAAUUCGUUAUGCAUUUAAAUAGAAGUAUCAACUAUUUUGCAUGUAUUGAUAUGAUCCUCUAUUUUAUUUUUUUAAAGAUGAACAUGUAGAGGUGGGCACAUGUCGGUUUCUGAUAACACAACCAUCAAAUUGACAUUUCAAUUUUGAUGAAAUUCCUACUUGAAAUUAAACCGACCUUAAAAUUGAUUUGAAUCGGCUCGGUUUUGGCUAGUUAGUCGGUUUUAAGGAUAAAAUGCCCCGCUCUAGAUGAAAUUUUGACUCUUUUGUAUGUUGGCUCCCUAUUUCUAUAAGUUCGUGUUAAGUCUUAUAUUUCAAUGUUACUUGCGUUUACGCGUCUCUUUGUUGAACGAACAAUAUGUAAUGUUACACAUGCAUAUAACCAUACCAAAUCGCAUGCAAUGCCAAAUAUAUAUUAGUAAAUAUGACGCAGCAUAGUUGACAAUAGUUCAAUUUAGUUACUAACACGGUUAAAAUUCGUACUCGAAUUAACCAGUGAAGAUAGAAAGGGGAUAAAACUGAAUACUUACAAUAAUGGUUAUAAAAAUGGCAAUAGUCAACAACAUAUUGUGUGAAAAAUCAAUCAUCCAUAUUAUUGUAUUGAAGAAACCAUGCAGCAGAAAGGAGAACUAGACCAACAAAGUUAUGAAAUUAAAUUGUGUUACAAUAUUGUCUUUUGUUUCUGGCGUUUUCUUAGAUAUCAGAAGAUCAGAUUUAAAAAAGUUUUAAAUCUUAAAUAAGAUAGUUUAACAUUAUAUCAAAGUACUAAAUAUUCAAGAACUCCGACCUCGAUUCCUUCAUAUGUGUCAAAAUACACCCAGAGUGGGCCAUUGAUGAAAACUUUGCAUGUGUUUCUGAGAAGGAACGUGUGAUAUAUCCCAACUCUCGCCGCUACCUAUUUAUUAAUGAAAACUGUGCACGUGUUUCUUCGACCUCGUGGCCAUUACUCACACUUCCACAUCUUACACUAUAUAUAUUCUUCUCUUGUUAUUAAAUCUUGCUCAUGUUCUGGUCAAGAAUUCAUGCAGUUACAUGUACAAAUAAUUAUGGUAACUCGUACCCCCCCCCACCCCCCCCAUUCAACUUUCAAUAUUUCAAGAAAGUCGACCUUUCAAGUGAUUUUGAAAUACUGGACUCUAGUUCAUAUUCGACUGAGUAGAGCCUAAUGAUGUACGAAUCUCCUCUACCUCAAACUUUUUAUAGGUGUAUUUGGGGUCUGGUAUAUAUUAGGCGUUCUAAACGCAAUUUAUGUUGUCCUAAAUUUCCUACAUGUAUAAAGGGUUAUUUGUAAUGGUGAAAUCCUGCAGCUGCUAGGGGACGUUACUCUCACAUUGAGAGUGAACCACUUUAAUCUAUGUAUUUUGUGCAUGUUUGUGAUUUUUCGUUUUGCAUAAUAUUGCUAUUGUAAUUGGGAUUGAGGGUUAGUCCAAAAUAUUACACCAAGAUAUUCUCCAAACUAGCUGCAAACCUUUGCUCCAGUAGACUGAAUCUAUCUUUACCAUGGUUUAUACAGGCUGAAAAACAUUUGCAAAUUCGUCAAGAUGCUGAGAGAAGGUAUAUGGCUAUGCUGGAGCAAGCCUGCAAGAUGCUGGUCGAUCAAAUUAUUGGAUCUGCAGUUGUAAAUGACGAUGGAGAGGGUUAUCAAGAGAAAGGAACAGAGUCAACCCCUAGCGCUUCCCGUAAUCCAAUUAGAUCGUGCAAAUCGUCAUCUAUCAACGAAUUGGGAAUCCAGUGCCCUGAACAUGUGUCUCCUGAAGUUCGUACUCAACAUGCUGUUCAUUCAACUGAAAGCUGCCUUACCUCCUAUGAGAUUCCUGUAGGAUCUUCACCAGAAAGAAAGAGGCAAAUGCUGAACAUGGAUUUGACAACUGUCUUUCAUAUCGGGUGAAUCGGAUUUCAGAAACCCAGAUUUGCACGUGGUACAAGUUAACUCGCGUGGAAAUAUUGGUGUAUAAAAAUUAAAAAAAAUGUAACUACGCUCCUAUUUCAUUUCCGUUGUUUCUUGGAUUUGAAACAGGCUGAGUUCUCCUGUGGAAUGUUUGGUUCCGGAAUUAGAUAGCAUUUGGCAGUACUGAUGAAGAAAAAAAAGUUAAAAUCUUAUCCAAUGUACUAUAUGAUCGAGUUCUAGUCAGUACUGUAAGUCAGAUCCACUUCAUCUUUUAUGAAAUUGGCAGACAACAUAGUUGAACUAUCUUAGCUGAAGUUGUAAACCGAAACUGCUGAUGUUUUCAUAUCAAGAUUGGACCUCUUUCUACUACUUAGCAGUCCAAUGUUUAUGAUAGACCAAGUUUUGCGUAAGCAUAUAGAUACUAGAUAAAU
rnacentral:lncRNA from 1 species